AUUGAACGCUGGCGGCAUGCUUUACACAUGCAAGUCGAACGGCAGCGCGGGCUUCGGCCUGGCGGCGAGUGGCGAACGGGUGAGUAAUACAUCGGAACGUGCCCAGUAGUGGGGGAUAGCUCGGCGAAAGCCGGAUUAAUACCGCAUACGACCUGAGGGUGAAAGCGGGGGAUCUUCGGACCUCGCGCUAUUGGAGCGGCCGAUGGCAGAUUAGCUAGUUGGUGGGGUAAAGGCCUACCAAGGCGACGAUCUGUAGCUGGACUGAGAGGACGACCAGCCACACUGGGACUGAGACACGGCCCAGACUCCUACGGGAGGCAGCAGUGGGGAAUUUUGGACAAUGGGCGAAAGCCUGAUCCAGCAAUGCCGCGUGUGUGAUGAAGGCCUUCGGGUUGUAAAGCACUUUUGGCGGGAACGAAAAGGACUGUGCCAAUACCACGGUUCGAUGACGGUACCCGCAGAAUAAGCACCGGCUAACUACGUG
rnacentral:rRNA from 1 species